GAUAAACGCUAGCGGCAGGCUUAACACAUGCAAGUCGAGGGGCAGCAUAGAUUGUAGCAAUACAAUUGGUGGCGACCGGCGCACGGGUGCGUAACGCGUAUGCAACCUACCCGUCACAGGGGGAUAAACCGGAGAAAUCUGGUCUAAUACCCCAUAACAUAUGGAUCGGCAUCGGUUCAUGUUGAACUUGUCGGAGGUGCGGGAUGGGGAUGCGUAGCAUUAGCUUGUUGGUGAGGUAACGGCUCACCAAGGCGACGAUGCUUAGGGGGACUGAGAGGUUUUCCCCCCACACUGGUACUGAGACACGGACCCGAAUCCUACGGGAGGCAGCAGUGAGGAAUAUUGGUCAAUGGGCGCAAGCCUGAACCAGCCAUGCCGCGUGCAGGAUGACGGCUCUAUGAGUUGUAAACUGCUUUUGUACGAGGGUAAAGUGGGUUACGUGUAACCUUUUGAAAGUAUCGUACGAAUAAGGAUCGGCUAACUCCGUGCCAGCAGCCGCCGUAA
rnacentral:rRNA from 1 species